UAAGUUUCACCAGAUGAUGGCGCCCAUACUUCUCUGAUAGGUUUUGCCAAGUUGGUUUGGCAUCCUUUCAAGCUGUAUCCGAGAGACGUUUUAGAGACUGGUUACCUAAACUGUUAAUCAAAUUAAGGCCUUUAUUAUUAAUUCAGUUAAAAUGAGUGUAAGUGUAUAAUAUCUUCAGAACAAUUUAUGCCAAAGAAUUAAGCAGGCUGAAAUGAAUGGAAAGCUACUUAUUUCCUGUAACUGUACUCACACUUUAUAUUUAAUUUAUACAACUUUUAAAAACCAAUUUCUACAAGUCAGAUCUUUCAACAUUUUCAUUUUCUUGCCAUCUGCUGCUUUGUAAACCAGCCAUUUAAUAUGAAAACUUGCUCAGAAGCUGUACUUUUAAUGCACUUGCUAGCUCAUCAGGUGAUAUCUCUAAUUGAGCUGUUUGCUCCUCAAUUGGGAGGCAGAGUGCAAGUUGCUGGUCUGUUUUCUCGGCUUUCCUGGUGGACUUGAGCCAAAGGUUACUGCCAGCCAUCCUGGGGCAGGAAGGACUUCCAGAUAUGCUCCUACUGUCCACCAGCAUGGAGACAAAGUGCAGGGCUGGUGGUCAGAUCACAGGAGAAAGUGAACUACAGCUCCUGGCAUGGGAAGUGUGUGGAUCAUGGAGGAGAAAUGAGGUGUGAAACGCACAAAGCUGGGAGCUAGUCUGGGUUGCAUGUUCUGGUGUGAGAGGCCUUGGCAGCCAGCCAGCAGCCUUCUUGGGAAGAGCCAUCUUUAAGGAGUCAGCCACAGAAGGAGGGUCACUUCCUGACACACCAAGACCCUGGGACGUGGGGCCACUGGUGCUGCAUCUUCUUCCAGAAGUGAUCUGCCAACAGCUGUGAAACCACCUGCAAGCAAGAACCCAAAGGAAAAGGAAAAGGGGGAUUAUACCAAAGUAAAGAACUUAUCGGCAAGAUUUACUCUAUUCUUUGAGUGGUGGACAGACCUUAGGCUGGCUCCCAAGGAUUCCUACCUUUGAAGUGCGUGGAACCUAUCACCCGGUUCUAAGCAGCAGAGCACAAUAAAGGAUGUCCUUUCAGUGACUGUAUCGCGUUAUCUAUGACUCUGCUUUGCUGGCAGACUUGCUCUCGAGACCCUCUUUGCUGGACUGAUGAAGUUAGAAGCCAUGUUGGGAAGCCACAUGGCAGGGAACAGAGGGUGGCCUCUAACUCACAUCUAGUAAGAAGUUGGGCCUUCAGUCCUACAGCCACAAGGAAAUAAAGUCUGCCAACAACCCAAGUGGGUAUGGAAUCAAAUCUUCCCCAGUUGAGUCUCCAAGUGAGAACAUAGAUGUUAGUCUGUGAAAUCCUAAGCAGGGAGCCCAGUGAAACUUUGCCAGUACUUCUGACCCACAGAAACUGAACCAACUUGGAGGACAUUGC